rnacentral:rRNA from 1 species
CCUACGGGUGGCAGCAGUGGGGAAUAUUGCUCAAUGGGCGCGAGCCUGACGCAGCCAAGUCGCGUGAGGGAUGACUGCCCUACGGGUUGUAAACUUCUUUUGUAAAGGAGUAAAGUGAGGCUCGUGUGCCUUUUUGUAUGUACUUUAUGCAUAAGGAUCGGCGAACUCCGUGCCAGCAGCCGCGGUCAUACGGAGGAUCCGAGCGUUAUCCGGAUUUAUUGGGUGUAAAGGGAGCGUAGAUGGGUUGUUAAGUCAGUUGUGAAAGUGUGCGGCUCAACCGUAAAAUUGCAAUUGAUACUGGCAGACGUGAGUACAGUUGAGGUAGGUGGAAUUCGUGGUGUAGCGGUGAAAUGCUUAGAUAUCACGAAGAACUCCGAUUGCGAAGGCAGCUUACUAAACUGCCACUGACAUUGAUGCUCGAAAGUGUGGGUAUCAAACAGGAUUAGAUACCCUUGUAGUC